rnacentral:tRNA from 1 species
AAGAAAUUAGUUUAAAAAAACAGUUAAUUGUCAAAUAACAGAUACUAAUAGUAUUUCUUG